UGCGCGUUAGGCCGAGGAGAGCGAGCCAUUGGGUGAACCCUAGCCGCCACUCUCCCUCUCCCCUUCUCUGCCCGUGCUCUCCUCUCUUCCUCGCUUGCCCUCGCGCCGUCACCCGCCGGGAAGCGCCGCAGCCGCUGCUCCUCAGUCCGCACACGCGUCGCACUAGGGUUUCUAGCUCCAAGCGCCUGAGAAUCGGCUCGAGGUUGGCUUCGCGUCAGCGGUGAGAAGGGGCCGGCGGCCACCGCGGGAGGAGCAGGAGGAAGAUGGGAUGCCGUCCGUUGAGGCGUGUCGCGGCCCUUCUCCGCGCCGGCGAUGCGUGCAGCAAAGAAUGGAAGGCGUGCGUUCUGUCGGCAUCUGAUCCAGAUGACCUCAUGCCGCCGCGCCCGUCCUCCUUCCCCGUUGCCCCUCCUCUCGAGCCACCGGCUGGCGCUCUCUCUUCGCCGGAAGAGCCUCCCCCUCCUCCGGAAGCUAUUUGUGGCCCACUUGUUCGGAGAUGGACACAUCGCAGCGGAGGAAGAACUCACCGGCUCGAUCGAGGAGCGGCGGGGGUAGAAGUGCAAGGCGAGGAGCGCUUGAUGCGAAGCGCUCAUAACAGCCACGCGCGUCCGCCUUUACUGGCGAGCGCAUCAAGUUCCCAACCGGACACUAGGUUUUGAAUCUUAAAUGAUGGCUGCUUGAUAAUUUGUCCAAGUUGAGAUCCACCACUGACGACAUGAGUUUGCUACCGUGCUCCUGUUAAGGUAGCGGAAGGCCUGCACCUCCCAGUCUCCCACCGUUCCAAUUUUUUCGGUUGAAUCAAGUGUCAAUUAAUGAGAUGAAUGUGUUGUUCAUGCUCUUUGAGAAGGCCAGCAGCUCCAGACGACGGUGAACUCAUCCAACUGAUUUUGUAGGAUACACGCUGAAUGUACCGCUCGCCUGUCACUCCUUCGCUAGGAGGGGCGCAACAUGCUACUCGCUCCGAUGCUCCAGCUUUUUCUUGAAUCGGCCUGUUGUCAUGCGUCCGUCCAUGGCCAGGUUGAAGCGGCGAUGGCGGUUGUAGCGUGACGGACGGCAUCAGCAACAAGCAGUUACUCAUCUUUGCAUCAGCAACAGAUAGAUUAUGGAAUUGUUUCAAUCUGGAUAUUUUGCUUGGAAAAAAUUGUCACGUACACUACCAGAAGGGUGAGAGUGAAUUUCAAUAGGCUUAUGACAAAGGAAUGCCCAAAUCAAAGUUCUGGGAGCCUGCAUAUGAAGAUUGCUAAAAUAUGAUUGCUGUACCGCAGGAGACGAACAUGUCGUCUUAGGCUCGUACGUUGUUGGUCGCCGGCUUGGCCUGCAAGAGGAUGCCCCCCUGCUCUGACUUGCUCACAUCUCAGUGUUUCACCAAUGAAGAUGUAUUUUCAAGCAAAGAACAAGAGUCAUCGAUGCAGUGAGGAUGAUUGUCGCGUCCGCUGGCUGAGGGGCAAGCUGGGGCUGUAGUCCCUGAACAUAGUGGUUCUACUGUGAAGGCCUUGCGUUGGGACUCCGUGCCUCCUAAACUAAGAACAAAUGAACUUGCCUUUAGGCUUUUCGCACUGCACCGUGCAUCCAGGUCCAACCCAAUGGUUAGGACGGCGGUUCUUGCAUAGCAUACAUGGAGAUGGUACAUGUGGGGAAGAAAUAUAAGAAACUCAUGCUCAUCAGCGAGGGCAGGGGUCAUAUAGUCAUCAAGGACAGCCUCAGUGUCUUCCACUCCAUCACCUUCUGCUCGGCCACUUUCGGCAAAGCAGACUAUCUACAACCUCUUCUUUUUGAAGCCCUCGGCCCCUCACCACCUGUUGAAGUUGAGGGCAGCAGCUCGCACUGUGAGGGGCUUCGGCGCAGUGGCGGCUCCAGGAAAUGAAGGUUGGGUAUUCACCCAAUUUUUUUUUUUUGCUCUAAACAUAGUAUAUGAACCAAACAACAGACCACAAGCAAUAUAUGAACAAAACAACACUAGGAUAAAGGCAGUAGCAAUAUUUCAAUGUAUCAGACCAUAACAACAUGAAUACAUAAGUACCUUUUGAUUGAUAAAGUGAUGAUAUCCUUCUUACAAUAUAACUUUGCGGUCGCCUUUCUGGAAUAGAUUGAUGACAUCUUCAUCCUUCACUUGAUUGAAAAAUUCUCUCUCAACAAAUGUAACCAAACAAUUGUUCAAAUAUUCAUCACCCAUUUUGUUCCUUAGCUUAUUCUUCACAUAGCUCAUUGAAGAGAAUACCCUUUCAACACUAGCAGUAGCUACUAGGAGAAUCAAUACCAACUUAAGAAGCUUGUAAACAAUAUGAUAUAGUUCAUGCUUGUUUGUCUCAACAAGCAUAACUGAAAGCUGACACAGAUUUUUCAGGUUUUGAAACCUUUCAUCUCUACGCACAUUAGUAACAUACAUGUUUAGUUGCCAUGGAAGUCUUGCCAGUUCAUCACUUGUAAAAUCGGAAGCAUAAAACUUUGUAGCAAGCCUAACCAACUUCUCUUGGUCAUAAGCAGCAAAUAGAUGAAGUGGACAAAAUGCUGCCAUGCAAGAAAGUAGCUCCGUGUUUACCUCAUCAAACCUGCUAUUCAGCUCAUUGAUUUGCCUAUCAAUGACACCCACAAACAUAUCAACCUUGAAGCGGUGGUAAUUGGUCACACCAUUACAUAAACCCGUUCUAGGACGACCAACGGGAAAGUAAGGACCCUCCAUACCAACAACUUUGAUCUUAUGCUUUGUACAAAAAGAUGUGACCUUUGUGAGAAAAUCAUCCCAUCCAACAUCGGUCCUCAAAGCCUCCAAGUAAUACUUUGUGUCACUAACAAGCUCAAUAGCAUGAACAAUAUCUUCGUCUUGCUUUUGCAAAGCUCUACACAACUCAUCUGUGUAUCCAAAUAUUUCUUGCAUCAAGUGUGCCAUGAAAACAAACUCAAAUGAUCGAAAUAUUGUCUCUAUGGAUAGAGCUGCUUGUGCCUCCGCACCAUGGUACUCGUCUCCAAUCUUGCGAAGGACUCGUCGUAGUGCACCAUACAUAGAGAUGACAUGGUUCACAGUUUUGAAGUGAGAUCCCCAACGUGUAUCACAUGGCCUUCCCAAACCCAUUUCCUGAUUCAGCCCAGUCCCCAUUUCUACUUCUUCCAAUUCCAGUGCAUCAAUGAGUUCUUCAGCCCGAGCUAUCCGAAGCAUUCUCAUUUUUCUAGAAGACAUGCCAAGAGCAUUUAGCAAGUGUGCAAGCUGCUGAAAGAACCAAGUACAACCACCACUCUCCUUAGCAACAGCAACAAGAGUUAACUGUAAUUGAUGGGCAAAACAAUGAACAUAGUAGGCAGAAGGGGACUCAUCCAUAAUCAGUUUUUUCAGGCCAUUAACAUUACCUCUCAUAUUACUAGCUCCAUCAUAUCCUUGCCCACGAACCAUUGCAAAGGUCAAAUUGUAGUCCAUAAGCAUUUUCUGAAUUGCAGCUUUUAGUGUCAAAGAGGUGGUAUCUUCAACAUGAGCAAGACCAAGAAAUCUUACAACCGCCCUUCCUUUCUUAUCAACAUAACGCAAGCAAACAGCCAACUGUUCAUUCUGAUACACAUCACUAGACUCAUCUGCAAGUAUUGCAAAAUGACCACCAUCAAGUUCUUCAAUGACUAGUUUAGUAGUCUCUUGUGCACAACAUUUUAUCACCUCUUGUUGUAUAUCAUGGUGAGUCAUCUUGCUGUUCUGUGGAGCAUUCUUGAGAACAACCCUGUCAACCUCUUCAAAAUUUCCUGCUAGCCAAUUUAGAAGCUCAAGGAAAUUUCCUUUAUUUAGCGAGUCUUCACUUUCAUCAUGCCCCCUAAAUGCCAAGCCUUGGCUUAAUAGAAAUCUCACACACUUGAGUGUCCAUGUCAAACGCUGUUUAUACAAAGCCUUGUAUUGUGAGGUGUUUGAAGCAAUAGACUCCCUAAUUGAUGUUGUAGGUGUAGUGAACAUAUCAUAUUUUUCUUGAGCUUCAGCGUGAGCACUACUAACAGCUCCAAUAUGCCUCUUCAAUCUUGCUUUCAUGUUCCAAUUAUUAAAUCCACCAUUCACAAAUGCAUCUCCUCCGGGACUUUUUGUUUUAUCCUUGAACAAGUAGCAAACAAAGCAAAAAGCAGCCUCUUUUUCCACGCUGUACUCAAGCCACUUAUGAUCUUUAAGCCAAGUAGGGGAAAAGCGACGAGAAUGUCCACUAAAAUCUCUGAUUUCAAACUUAUGAUCAUUUGGUUGACAAGCUCCCAAGUCAAUGUAUCUCCUUCUAACUCUAUCCUGGUCAUUGACAUGAUAUGAAGAUAUAGGAAGUCGCUUGCCGGGAUCACGUUCCAGAGCAGCCAAAUCUGCUUCAAAUUGGGGCAUUGAUUCGUCAUCUUCAUCAACCGCUUCAUCAUCUACAAUUGGGGUUGGGGAGCCUCUCUCCCUCUCCGGUUGCGGAGCUUCAUCAUGUGUGUGCACUAAUGCUAGUUGCAGAUUGCUCUCAACCUCAACGGAAAGAGAAGUUGGUGUGGAUGUAGAAGUUAUUUUUCUUGCCUUCGAAGAUUUGUCCCACAAUUCAAACAAGCUAACAUUCUUCUUCUUCAUCUACAUCACAUUAUCACAAACAAGAGAAGUAGUUCAGUGUCCAUGUAGCAAUCAUUUGUGGUCCAUCUAGCAAUCAUUUGAUAGUUCAGUUUCAAUUUACAAGCAAUUAGUGAAAAAACUUCAGAUUUGUUUGAGAACAGAGGGAAAGAAUACCUAGUAGAUGGAUGGAUCUGCAGACAUCAGACUGGAUGGAGGCCGUGGAGGGCGCUGUCGCGCCGUGGACGCUGGAUGCGGUCUGCCUGUGCAGUGGAUGUGCCUGUCCCGUUGUCCGCCGGCUGGCGCUUGCUGCCUGGCGGAGCCGCGGAGGAGAGGGCCAGAGGCCGAGCCGCCGAGGGGCGAG